GCUGGGCAUGGUGGCACACACCUGUAAUCCCAGCGGCUCAGGGGGCUGAGGCAGGAGGAUCAUGAGUUCAGAGUCAGCCUCAGCAACUUAGUGAGGUUCUAAGUAACUGAGUGAGACCCUGACUCUA
rnacentral:sRNA from 1 species